UUGAUCCAACUUCUCUUUGGACUUGGGACCAAAGGAAAUUUUUGCCAAAGAUACUGGUUGAUGUUACAAGGCUACUGCAGUAAUUAACCAAUAUAAAUCUUCAAGCCUGAUUAAUUGAUGACUUAAAUGAGUAAACAUGGGAUCAGCUUGAUCAUUGAAAUUUGGGACAAUGUGCUUAAACAUGGUACGUUCUCAGAACAAUGGUGGCAAUGAACAUGGAGAAAAUACCAUUAGAGGUGGCUAAAGGAUAG